rnacentral:rRNA from 1 species
AUUGAACGCUGGCGGCAGGCCUAACACAUGCAAGUCGAGCGAGCGGCGGACGGGUGAGUAAUGUCUGGGAAACUGCCUGAUGGAGGGGGAUAACUACUGGAAACGGUGGCUAAUACCGCAUACUAUCGGAUGUACCCAGAUGGGAUUAGCUAGUAGGUGGGGUAACGGCUCACCUAGGCGACGAUCCCUAGCUGGUCUGAGAGGAUGACCAGCCACACUGGACCUGGGACACGGUACAGAAUCCUAAGGGAGGCAGCAGUGGGGAAUAUUGCACAAUGGGCGCAAGCCUGAUGCAGCCAUGCGGCGUGUAUGAAGAAGGCCUUCGGGUUGUAAAGUACUUUCAGCGAGGAGGCGUUACUCGCAGAAGAAGCACCGGCUAACUCCGUGCCAGCCGCCGCGGUAAUUC